rnacentral:rRNA from 1 species
UGGGGAAUAUUGGACAAUGGGCGAAAGCCUGAUCCAGCCAUGCCGCGUGUGUGAAGAAGGUCUUCGGAUUGUAAAGCACUUUAAGUUGGGAGGAAGGGCAGCUAACUAAUACUUCGCUGUUUUGACGUUACCGACAGAAUAAGCACCGGCUAACUCUGUG